AGAGUUUGAUCAUGGCUCAGAAUCAACGCUGGCGGCGCGCUUAACACAUGCAAGUCGCACGAGAAAGUGGAGCAAUCCAUGAGUACAGUGGCGUACGGGUGAGUAACACGUGGAUAAUCUACCUCUUAGUGGGGAAUAACCCUGGGAAACCGGGGCUAAUACCGCAUAAGCCUGAAAAGGGAAAGCAGCAAUGCGCUGAGAGAGGAGUCCGCGGCCGAUUAGCUAGUUGGUAGGGUAAUGGCCUACCAAGGCAAUGAUCGGUAGCCGGCCUGAGAGGGCACACGGCCACACUGGCACUGAAACACGGGCCAGACUCCUACGGGAGGCAGCAGUGGGGAAUCUUGCACAAUGGAGGAAACUCUGAUGCAGCGACGCCGCGUGAGCGAUGAAGCCCUUCGGGGUGUAAAGCUCUUUCGACGGGAACGAUAAUGACGGUACCCGGAGAAGAAGCUGCGGCUAACUACGUGCCAGCAGCCGCGGUAAUACGUAGGCAGCAAGCGUUGUUCGGAAUUACUGGGCGUAAAGAGUGUGUAGGCGGUUUUCUAAGUUCGGUGUGAAAUCUCCCGGCUUAACUGGGAGGGUGCGCCGGAAACUGGAAGGCUUGAGUAUGGGAGAGGAAGGCGGAAUUCCUGGUGUAGCGGUGAAAUGCGUAGAUAUCAGGAGGAACACCUGCGGUGUAGACAGCUUUCUGGACCAUCACUGACGCUGAGACACGAAAGCGUGGGUAGCAAACAGGAUUAGAUACCCCCGUAGUCC
rnacentral:rRNA from 1 species